rnacentral:rRNA from 1 species
GAUGAACGCUGGCGGCGUGCCUAACACAUGCAAGUCGAGCGAGGGUUUGCUCAGUAUUGAGUAUUCUAAGACUAGAAUGUUCAAUUCUGAGCAAAACCAAGCGGCGGACGGGUGGGUAACGCGUGGGUAACCUGCCCUAUACACAUGGAUAACAUACUGAAAAGUUUACUAAUACAUGAUAAUAUAUAUUUGUGGCAUCGCAGAUAUAUCAAAGUGUUAGCGGUAUAGGAUGGACCCGCGUCUGAUUAGCUAGUUGGUGAGAUAACUGCCCACCAAGGCGACGAUCAGUAGCCGACCUGAGAGGGUGAUCGGCCACAUUGGAACUGAGACACGGUCCAAACUCCUACGGGAGGCAGCAGUGGGGAAUAUUGCACAAUGGGCGAAAGCCUGAUGCAGCAACGCCGCGUGAACGAUGAAGGUCUUCGGAUCGUAAAGUUCUGUUGCAGGGGAAGAUAAUGACGGUACCCUGUGAGGAAGCCCCGGCUAACUACGUGCCAGCAGCCGCGGUAAUACGUAGGGGGCUAGCGUUAUCCGGAUUUACUGGGCGUAAAGGGUGCGUAGGUGGUCCUUCAAGUCGGUGGUUAAAGGCUACGGCUCAACCGUAGUAAGCCGCCGAAACUGGAGGACUUGAGUGCAGGAGAGGAAAGUGGAAUUCCCAGUGUAGCGGUGAAAUGCGUAGAUAUUGGGGAGGAACACCAGUAGCGAAGGCGGCUUUCUGGACUGCAACUGACACUGAGGCACGAAAGCGUGGGUAGCAAACAGG